AUUGAACGCUGGCGGCAUGCCUUACACAUGCAAGUCGAACGGUAACAGGUCUUCGGAUGCUGACGAGUGGCGAACGGGUGAGUAAUACAUCGGAACGUGCCCGAUCGUGGGGGAUAACGAGGCGAAAGCUUUGCUAAUACCGCAUACGAUCUACGGAUGAAAGCGGGGGAUCUUCGGACCUCGCGCGGACGGAGCGGCCGAUGGCAGAUUAGGUAGUUGGUGGGAUAAAAGCUUACCAAGCCGACGAUCUGUAGCUGGUCUGAGAGGAUGAUCAGCCACACUGGGACUGAGACACGGCCCAGACUCCUACGGGAGGCAGCAGUGGGGAAUUUUGGACAAUGGGCGAAAGCCUGAUCCAGCCAUGCCGCGUGCAGGAUGAAGGCCUUCGGGUUGUAAACUGCUUUUGUACGGAACGAAAAGCCUCUUUCUAAUAAAGAGGUGUCAUGACGGUACCGUAAGAAUAAGCACCGGCUAACUACGUG
rnacentral:rRNA from 1 species